GCUCCAGUGGCGCAAUCGGUUAGCGUGCGGUACUUAUAAUGCCGAGGUUGUGAGUUCGAGCCUCACCUGGAGCA